GUCAGCCGCAGAAGGGGAAGGAGUCUUUAACUUCUCCACAGAAAAAGCCAUUACAUUAUUUUCAGGGGUGGGGAGCCAGUGACCCUACACCAAAUGUUGGUGAAUCUCCCCAAUUCCCAUCACUGGCUGGGGAUGGUGGGAGUUGGGACUCCAGCAACAUCUGGAGGGGCCACAAGUUUAUAGUCGUCUAUCACAUCCCCCAUCUUACUCACCAUUUUUCUAAACUAAGAAGUUCCUAAGUAAUGAAACCUGUUGCUAAACAUUUUAUGCUUCAUUUCCACCUUUCACACAUGAACUUAAAAAAUGCAGGAGCAGGACACUGAGUCGGCAGCUUUCAAUACAAAUGUGCGUUGGAUACUUACCACGAAUGCUCCUUCUGGGGCGAGGGUGGCAGGCCUCCAGUACAACCAUGGGUUGAGGCCCCCACUGCCAGGGAGAGGCAGGUCCCAUGGUAAACAGAAAUCAGAUUUUUUUAAAAGACUAAUUUAUAAUAUAGAAAUAAAUUGGGGCUUGUUACAAAAUGCUGCAGUAUGAUGCACAGCCAGCAAGCCAUGCUCUCUUCCAGCAUACUCCAUUCCAUUCGCCCUCCUCCAUUUUAUUCCUGUCCCAUCCAUCCCACCAGCAUUCUGUGCCCACAGAACACGCUCCGUCCUCGUCAGGCUCUUUUGGGCUGUCCCCUUCCCACCAUAGGCUUUUUCCUUAAUAUUUCUUGUACUUCUGCAAACUUUGGAGGAUCCCAAAGCCUUCUGACAGCAUCCCUCUUCUAUCUAAGGAUCCACACUUUGAGAACCUGUGCAGUACAUGUUCCUCGGUUCUCGAACGUCUCUGCUGACGAAUGUUUCGGAACCUGAACGCCGAAAACCCAGAAGUAAAUGCUUCCGUUUUCGAACGCGCCUUGGAGGUCGAACGGCUUCCGCUGCGUGUUUUUCAGUUUUCUCAAUUGAAAUUGGAGACAGCCCUUUGCGCCUCGGUUUUCGAACGUUUCAGAAGUCAAACGGUCUUCUGGAAUGGAUUACGUUCGAGAACCGAGGUACCACUGUAUUUGCAUACACAGGUGGGGCCCUCCAACAAAAUGCUGCUGUGUGGAAGUGCUUCUGUUCAAAGUCAGAUUGCCCUGUUCCAGAGUUGUUAUUUUAUUAAUUUGCAGAUGUUGGGCGGACACGCCGGUUGCCCAAUCCCAGCUAGAUUUCUUCACUGAUUCUGGGAAAAACAGCCUACUCCAUUCAGACUGUCCCAUUCCCCCCACCACAGGAGACACAUCUUGCCCUAUGAGGAGGGGAAAGAAUGCAAAUGGGCAACAGACAACAGGGCCUGCUCUAGUCAGACUACCCCCAUCCCACUUUUAU